rnacentral:rRNA from 1 species
CCCUUAGAUGUCCUGGGCCGCACGCGCGCUACACUGAUGCAUGCAACGAGUUUAUAACCUUGGCCUGAAAGGUCUGGGUAAUCUUUUGAACGUGCAUCGUGAUAGGGAUAGAUUAUUGCAAUUGUUAAUCUUGAACGAGGAAUUCCUAGUAAACGCGAGUCAUCAGCUCGCAUUGAUUACGUCCCUGCCCUUUGUACACACCGCCCGUCGCUACUACCGAUUGAAUGGUUUAGUGAGAUCUCCGGAUUGGCUCUGUAGGUCCCGCAAGGGAUUUAUUAGUAGCCAAGAAGCUGCUCAAACUUGAUCAUUUAGAGGAAGUAAAAGUCGUAACA